AGAAUUAAGAGGAGGGCUAGGACUUGGGGAAACCCCUCUGGAAACUUGCCCAGAUCCCUCUGGCCCUCUUUCCAAACUGCUUUGCUUAGAGCAAGGAAAGGAUCGGGGCAUAAACAGCGAGGAAAAGGAGAUUUGUGGGGCGUCCUUACCCAAGGCCAUAAGGGUCUCGUAGCUCUCGUGCAUCACAUCGAGGUACAGAGCCUUCUGCCGCGGGUCCAGCAGCACCCACGGCUCCAUGGCAGGAAGAAGCACCGGGACAACGCGGGCUCCUCCUUCGGCGCUCCCCAAAAUCCCCUGCAGGGAGGAGAAAUCCCUUGAAAUCAAGGAUUUCCCACACACAGCGCUUCCUGCUCGAGAUUUGACGCUUUUCCUGUGGUCACCUCGAGGAAUAUCGGGUUUUCACAGCCCCUCCUAAUCCUGAGCGUCCCCACAGCGGUGUGGGAACAGGAGGGUCCCUGCUUUGCCCCCAUCCCACACCAGCCUCUGCCUCCCUGCUCCCCACACGCCGGGAAUCAGCGAUGGGGCCGCAUCCCAGGACCAUCCUCAUCCCUCUCCAUCCCUCCUCUCCCCAGAGGCGCUGCCGCUGCCGGGAUCAUCCUCAAACCCCGUCCCCGCUCCCCUCUCGCCCCAGUACCUCGGCCCGGCUCUGCCUCCCCCGGGCUCUUCCUCGGGGGCUGCGGGGAGGGGGCGCUGCCCGGACCCCCCUGCACGCCCGGGACCACCGAGCCUCCCUCGGAGGACACAAUGGAGGCGAUGGCGAGCUCGGCCCCGCUCCGGAAGCCCAAGCCGGUAUCCGGCAGAGAAAGGAGCGGCCAAGAAGCAGCUCGGGCUUCCCAGAGCCCUCUAGAGGAAAGGCAGUCCCGGCUGAAGCUCCGCAGAGCCCCCGGAACCCCCCGCGCUGCCCGGGGCCCGGAGGGUUCGGGGACUGGGAUAUAGCGGGGAUGGAUCCAGCGCGGGUGUUACAAACGGGAAACGCUGCCAGGCGGACACUCCAUUAAUAAUUCCAUUCCAACACACGCAGGAUGUCCCACACAACAUGUGGAAUGAAAUCCCACUUUUUCCCCCACUCCUUCCGUCAAGAAAAGUCAACCUUAAAACCAGAAAACAGCAAUUUGGAAAUAAAUCACCCUCCCUGCCUCGUGAUGCAACUGGUGUCAGGCGGAAAUUCACCUUCCCGCAAAUUCAGGGAAUCAGCAGGUGGGAACGGGAAGAUGGGAGGGACAACUUUUGCAACUGGUGGAUUGCUGAUGCCCAGAAAAUAAAUCCCCAUCAUUGAGGUUGAUCCCAAAAUGACUCGUUGGGACACGCAUUAAUCCAGGUCGUACCAGCACAAUGUGAAACCUCCCCAGGAGAAUGGGAGCUGCCCUCACCCCAAACUCUCUGCUGUUGCUGGCAAUCUGUGUCCCUGCCAGACCCACUGAGCAAUUCCCAAAUCCCUCAGGAUUUGUUAUUCCACAUGGAGAAAAUACGUGGUUUUGGAAGUUCAGCGUUGACACCCCACAGGGGGACAAGCAGCGAACCACAAAUC
rnacentral:lncRNA from 12 species